rnacentral:rRNA from 1 species
UAACACAUGCAAGUCGAGCGAAGAACUUAUCAUGAAACCUUCGGGUAGAUUGAUAAACUUCUUAGCGGCGGAUGGGUGAGUAACGCGUGAGGAACCUGCCUUCCACAAGGGGAUAGCCUCGGGAAACCGGGAUUAAUACCCUAUGACACUUAAGAUUCGCAUGAAUAUUAAGUUAAAGCGUUUAGCGGUGGAAGAUGGCCUCGCGUCCCAUUAGCUAGUUGGUGAGGCAACGGCUCACCAAGGCAACGAUGGGUAGCCGGCUUGAGAGAGUGAACGGCCACACUGGAACUGAGACACGGUCCAGACUCCUACGGGAGGCAGCAGUGGGGAAUAUUGCACAAUGGAGGGAACUCUGAUGCAGCGACGCCGCGUGAGCGAUGAAGGCCUUCGGGUCGUAAAGCUCUGUCCUAUGGGACGACAAUGACGGUACCAUAGGAGGAAGCCCCGGCUAACUACGUGCCAGCAGCCGCCGUAAUACGUAGGGCGGCGAGCGUUGU